ACAGGCCCUGUCACGGGAUUAUAGUGACCAUAGCAGCACAUCCGUUUGAGAGUAUGUUUUAUAAAGUAUGGAUAAAUGGCAAUAUUUCUAUAUGACUUGCAUUAUCAUGGUUAUGAAUUUUCAUGGAUGGAUCAUGCAUUGCUUUAUGACCUGAUUUGUGUAUAUCAUCUAUAAAAUAUUUUAUUUUACUAUAACUGUUGGCUUUUUAAUCACUGCAUUGGCAUAAUUGUACUUGAUCCAAUAAGAUAGUACCUGGUUACUUACUGAGCUGUGUAGCUCAUAUCUUUUUAUCUAUUUUUUUUACAGAUGAAUAAGAUUACUAGGAGCAGGGAGCUUGGUGUUAUUCAGGGUUGGAGUAAUUGAAAAUAUUAUGUAAUAAUUAAAUUUUAGAAGCUCUGUACUGUUCCAACUUCAUGAACAAUGUUAUGACAUUAGUAAUAUUUAUUUUCAUGACGAAAUUUUAAGUGGCUUCGUAUUAUUGUGUGCAUAAGAUUGCAAUAGCACGGCCGUGUCAUGAUCCGGAUUUGGGUCGUGACAUAAUCAAUUUUAUCUUCC
rnacentral:lncRNA from 1 species